rnacentral:rRNA from 1 species
UACGUAGGGUGCGAGUGUUGUCCGGAAUUAUUGGGCGUAAAGAGCUUGUAGGCGGUCUGUCGCGUCUGCUGUGAAAAUCCGGGGCUCAACCCCGGACUUGCAGUGGGUACGGGCAGACUAGAGUGUGGUAGGGGAGACUGGAAUUCCUGGUGUAGCGGUGAAAUGCGCAGAUAUCAGGAGGAACACCGAUGGCGAAGGCAGGUCUCUGGGCCACUACUGACGCUGAGAAGCGAAAGCAUGGGGAGCGAACAGG